UUGUUGGGUAGGAGUAUUUGAGAGGGGGCUCAUUAGAAUUUUGAGACGAUAAGUUUUAAGACUGAUUUGGAUUUUUUUUAUGCCACUUAUUAAAUUUUUAUCAUUUUAUAUUAAAAUUUGAGAGACUAAUUAGAUCUCAUUGUUAGCUUUUCAACAAGUCUUAGCAUAAAAAAAAAGAGAUAUGAUGAAAGCAAUCCAUGCAAGUUUAUAGGAGGGGAAUCAGUGGAGUUUUUGAUGCAAUAUGAUUCAAGAUCAACUCAAGGUUUUUUAACCCAUUUCUUAUAUUUUUUUUAUUUGAAAUUUUAAAAAAAAAACUAUAUCUUAUUGUUAAGCUAACAAUAAGUAUUAGUACACAAAAAAAAGAACUAAGAUGAGGAAGAUCUAAGUUAAUUUAUAGAUGAGGAUUUUGAAGAUAGUAACUACAAUAAGUAAUCAAUUUUUUCUCUUUG
rnacentral:lncRNA from 1 species